rnacentral:antisense_RNA from 1 species
GUUUCAGAUGCUGGAGUGGCAGAGCCAGCAGGCGAGCAGUUUCAAGGAGCGGGCCGGCUGAGGGAGAGAAGCUGCUGGGACUGAGAUUCCCAAAGGUGACGGGUCAGCCCCGACCCGGAGCGGCAGCUAGGCCCAGCGCGCGCACGAAGGGGCGGGGGCCGCGUACCAGGCUGUCCCUGCAGGCGCUCCGUACUCGUCCGAGCCCACGAGCAAGAAAACCGUCACACCCCUCAGCACGCGACUUCCUUCCGGGCCGGCGCUUCGAUGACGCCAUCAAUUCACGCGAGACGACCACACCCCCGCCCCGCGCUCGCUCUGCGCCCCGCCCCCUCGCGCUCCCAGCGGUCAAUGGCCGUAGCUGGCCGCCAGGGAUCGCCCGCGACUUGGUCCGUGUGGUCCUGGACCUCGGUCUUGGGUAUCCGGCCUGGGGCUGGGGAUGAGGACGGUAUAGGAGGGAGCUCUCCGAGAGCGAGCGGCAGGACGCGCAUGGCCCGGAGUACUGAGGCCUAGGGCGUCCCUUUCCAAGGCGUUGACUUUGGGGAUUGCUCCGGAUUUCCCUCCGCAUUAGGCCGAACCUGGUUCGUUUUGGUUUUUUUAGAGACAAGGUCUCGCUCUUUUGCCCAGGCUGGAGUGCAGUGGCACGAUCAUAGCUCACUACAGCCUCGAACUCCUGGGCUUAAGCGAUCCUCCCACCUCACCCUCCUGAGUAGCUGGGACCACAGGCGCACGCCACGACACUUGACAAUUUUAUUUUUAGGAGAGACAGGGUCUCGGUAUGUCUGGUCUCAAACUCUGGCUUCAAGCAAUCCUCCUGCCUCGGCCUCCCAAACUGCUGGGAUUACAGGCAUGAGCCACCAUGCGCGGCCUUUUUUUUUUUCUUUUUUCGCCUUGAUAAGGUACUAGCGAGUUGCAACUGUUUGCUUUCCUAUAGCACAGCUGAAAUGAAACAGUCUUUUCAAUGUACAGAUUAGCAUCAUUACCUCACUAAUCAAAAAUCCUUACCUUGAGUUCUUUAUAUUUUUCUGGGAGCUUUGGCCCUUGCGAUCCUGCAACACCACAAAGUAUAUUAACAAGGAAUUAUUAUUCUAAUUUUAAUGAACGGAAUCUAAGAAGUUCAGCGAGGUUCAAGGGUAAAAGCCAAGGAAAGUUUCCUUUGUGUUUCCUUAAUAUCUUGAGUUCACUGCUUUUUAAACUCCUGCCACAGUGCACCGGGGCUAGUGCACUUUGUCUUUCUAGAUAAACUGUACGUUCCCGGGAGAGCAGAGACUGACUUUCCUUCCGCAUCCCCGGGGCUUAGGUGCCCAGUAAAUACAACUGAAGGCAACGUGGGACCAGGCCCGGAAUCCAGACUUUGUGUCUCCUAGUCUAAGGGCCUCACGUUGUCCUCCACCUGCCCUAUUCACCGGCAUCACAUUGGGGCAUUUCUAAUUCAGCCACUGAAGUUAUUAAUAUUUUGUUUGCAGGAGAGAAAGAGUCCACUUAAUGAUAGCCUUCAGUAAAAGAAAAACUUUUACACGGGGAAGAUGGCAAGCUGGUGGUGUUAGACAGAUUUAAGACUCAGGAAAAGGGAAGUGUGGUUUUUUCCAGGCAUGCCUGCUUGGGAUUGGCCCGUUUGCCUUUCCUGGGUUUGCUCUGGGUGUUGGGAUGUUUCAGAUGGUGAAGCCCAUACGAGGGUUACAUGGUGCUGUCUGGGAGCUCUGUGCCCAUCUCCAUAAAUGAAGGCCUUUCAUCUCCCUACUCUGUCCCUGCAUCCCCCACCCCAAACAGACACAGCUGGCCAAUCUCUUGAUCAAUCCUAUCAGAACUUGAGUUUUUUCUCUCCAUGUUCAGUGAUAUAACCUCAGCUGGGCAUGCUUAUUUAAUAGUUUAUUUAUUUGUUUAUUUAAUAAUUGAGUAAGAAAAAUGGAAAUAUUAGGGUUCAUCAACCCAUGAAAUGGGGGCUAGCCUGCUGCAUCAAGUAUUUAAAUUACUUGUAAUUUAAGAAUUUCCUUUAACCAACCUCUGGUAACCCCUGUCUCCCCUCCCCUUCCCGUAAAUAUGUAUAUUAUUAUGUGUCAAUUAAAAAUAAUAAAAACACAAAAAUUUCCUCACAUU